GACGAACGCUGGCGGCGUGCUUAACACAUGCAAGUCGAACGGAAAGGCCCUGCUUUUGUGGGGUGCUCGAGUGGCGAACGGGUGAGUAACACGUGAGUAACCUGCCCUUGACUUUGGGAUAACUUCAGGAAACUGGGGCUAAUACCGGAUAGGAGCUCCUGCUGCAUGGUGGGGGUUGGAAAGUUUCGGCGGUUGGGGAUGGACUCGCGGCUUAUCAGCUUGUUGGUGGGGUAGUGGCUUACCAAGGCUUUGACGGGUAGCCGGCCUGAGAGGGUGACCGGCCACAUUGGGACUGAGAUACGGCCCAGACUCCUACGGGAGGCAGCAGUGGGGAAUAUUGCACAAUGGGCGGAAGCCUGAUGCAGCAACGCCGCGUGCGGGAUGACGGCCUUCGGGUUGUAAACCGCUUUCGCCUGUGACGAAGCGUGAGUGACGGUAAUGGGUAAAGAAGCACCGGCUAACUACGUGCCAGCAGCCGCGGUGAUACGUAGGGUGCGAGCGUUGUCCGGAUUUAUUGGGCGUAAAGGGCUCGUAGGUGGUUGAUCGCGUCGGAAGUGUAAUCUUGGGGCUUAACCCUGAGCGUGCUUUCGAUACGGGUUGACUUGAGGAAGGUAGGGGAGAAUGGAAUUCCUGGUGGAGCGGUGGAAUGCGCAGAUAUCAGGAGGAACACCAGUGGCGAAGGCGGUUCUCUGGGCCUUUCCUGACGCUGAGGAGCGAAAGCGUGGGGAGCGAACAGGCUUAGAUACCCUGGUAGUCCACGCUGUAAACGGUGGGUACUAAGUGUGGGGUCCAUUCCACGGGUUCCGUGCCGUAGCUAACGCUUUAAGUACCCCGCCUGGGGAGUACGGCCGCAAGGCUAAAACUCAAAGGAAUUGACGGGGCCCCGCACAAGCGGCGGAGCAUGCGGAUUAAUUCGAUGCAACGCGUAGAACCUUACCUGGGUUUGACGUGGAUCGGGAGUGCUCAGAGAUGGGUGUGCCUCUUUUGGGGUCGGUUCACAGGUGGUGCAUGCCUGUCGUCAGCUCGUGUCGUGAGAUGUUGGGUUAAGUCCCGCAACGAGCGCAACCCUUGUUCACUGUUGCCAGCACGUUAUGGUGGGGACUCAGUGGAGACCGCCGGGGUCAACUCGGAGGAAGGUGGGGAUGACGUCAAGUCAUCAUGCCCCUUAUGUCCAGGGCUUCACGCAUGCUACAAUGGCUGGUACAGAGAGUGGCGAGCCUGUGAGGGUGAGCGAAUCUCGGAAAGCCGGUCUCAGUUCGGAUUGGGGUCUGCAACUCGACCUCAUGAAGUCGGAGUCGCUAGUAAUCGCAGAUCAGCAACGCUGCGGUGAAUACGUUCCCGGGGCU
rnacentral:rRNA from 1 species